UACGUAGGGUGCGAGCGUUAAUCGGAAUUACUGGGCGUAAAGCGUGCGCAGGCGGCUUUGCAAGACAGAUGUGAAAUCCCCGGGCUCAACCUGGGAACUGCAUUUGUGACUGCAAGGCUAGAGUACGGCAGAGGGGGAUGGAAUUCCGCGUGUAGCAGUGAAAUGCGUAGAUAUGCGGAGGAACACCAAUGGCGAAGGCAAUCCCAUGGGCCUGUACUGACGCUCAUGCACGAAAGCGUGGGGAGCAAACAGG
rnacentral:rRNA from 1 species